AUUGUACUCCCUCCGUCCCAAAGUUCUUGUUUUAGAUUAGUCUAGAUACGGAUGUAUCUAAUACUAAAACGUGACUUGAUACAUCCGUAUUUAAACAAAUCUAAGACAAAAAAUUUGGGACAGAGGAAGUACCUU
rfam:Triticum aestivum genome assembly, contig: Triticum_aestivum_CS42_TGACv1_scaffold_542610_6DS